CAGUCGCCGCGGGAAUACAGAGGGUGCGAGCGUUAAUCGGAUUUACUGGGCGUAAAGCGUGCGUAGGCGGCUUCUUAAGUCGGAUGUGAAAUCCCUGAGCUUAACUUAGGAAUUGCAUUCGAUACUGGGAAGCUAGAGUAUGGGAGAGGAUGGUACAAUUCCAGGUGUAGCGGUGAAAUGCGUAGAGAUCUGGAGGAAUACCGAUGGCGAAGGCAGCCAUCUGGCCUAAUACUGACGCUGAGGUACGAAAGCAUGGGGAGCAAACAGGAUUAGAUACCCCAGUAGUCCCUGUCUCUUAUAC
rnacentral:rRNA from 1 species